GCGUUUCGCAUAAUGGUCGAUGUUCUAUUUUUUUCGAAAACAAUGUCGGAUUAAUGCAAGGGGAAAUUCUAUCACCUCUUUUGUUUUCACUUUUCGUAACCGAUUUUGAAACUUCUUUUAUAGAGAGUGGUGCUAAAGCCUGUGAUUUCGGUGAAUUAAGCUUAUUUCUCCUUAUGUACGCAGAUGAUAUUGUCAUGAUUUCUGAAUCGGUGGAAGGUCUUCAAAGUCUUUUAGAUAGCCUAUAUGAUCUAUACAUUGCAUAUAUUAAGCAUCACUCAUACAUGAUUUCUAGUGUUUUGUUUGAACAAAUACGAACAUGUAAUUCGAAAAAAAUGUUUGUUACAUUUAGUAAUGGGUUGAACUUUGACAAAUAAUGACACGAAAAACAUGUAACGUGUCCUUUUGUAGGUUGAAAGUCGACACACCAACCAAUGAAAGCUAAAGAAAAAGUCCAAGUUUGAGUAAAUUUUAAUUCCGGAGACGUCGGCAUGUUAUAAUGACGUGACGUCAUCGUUCUGUCCAUUGUUCGAUUGUUCUACGUCAUUUAUUUUCAAAUCCAAGUUUGUUCAAAAUCUCGCUUGGCACUUCCUAAGGAGAAUCCUGUGGCACUCAAUGGGUUUGACAACGUAACAUAUCAAAAUCAUGAAGAAAGGAUCUUCAAACUCAAUGGUAUAAAUGUGGAGGUUCCGGGGUAUGGUCACGUGAUUGCAGACAUUGCUUAUGGAGGGUCUUUUUUCGCCUUUGUGACUGACAGCCAGUUCAACUUCCGGUUGACAGAGGUUGCUCCGGAAGUCGUUAAAGCUGCUGCAGCGGCCACAACGGACGCCCUGAAGAAGCAGCUGAAACUUAGUCAUCCCAAGAGUAACGACCUCGCCUUCCUGUUCGGUACCAUCAUAACAGACGGGCAGGAUGAGCGGACGGACAUUUCGUCAACACAUCUGUGUGUUUGCAGAGAAACAGCUUGACAGAUCCCCUUGUGGUUCUGGCACGACUGCUAGGAUGGCGCUACUGUACCACAAAGGGUGCUUCCAGCUCGGCCAGUCUAGAACUUUCAGGAGCCAUAUUAAAUCCGAGUUCCGGGCCAAGGCUGUACAGGAAGUGACGUGUGGCGAAUACAAAGGGAUUGUGGUAGAAAUAUCCGGAAAAGGGUACUACUGUGGAUCUUCAGAGUUUUUCGUGGAGGAGGAUGACGUCAUAGGACGGGGGUUCUUAAUUGAAUAGUGUUGAUUUAGAAUUAAAGGAUAAUCGCACACACAAUGACAAACACUACAAAAACGCACGUGUUCGAUAAUGACAAUCAUUAAAGGGUUUUGGACACAGAGUAUUUUUCCAUUUUCUGUUAGCCCGACCCCAUAAAUGUAGAAACCGACCUCACGUAUAGAUCCGAGGUUUGUGAUUCGAUCCCUACAUGGGCUUCCGAGGAAGAUGAAAUUACCGAACGUCUUCAAGGUCCUGCAAUGUUAUGGUUUUGACCUUGGAAAGACAUUUUGCUCAUGUUGUUUUGGUUAGGGUGUGGCGCCUAUUUUACUAGGGUGUGGCAGGCCUGCUGAGUGUUGUUCCGUGUUGUUGCCACUAACUACUACAAUCAGACUCCUGCAUCGAAAUGACACUGGCUAAAAUACGAGUAAGGCUGGACAUUUAUAAAUUACAUGAGUUUUUGUGACUGAUGUAUAUGUAACUUCAAUAAAAUAUAUUUUAUCAAAAUAAAACUUAGCAUACCAAGGAAUCGGGUGUGUGCUGGGUGCCGGUCAGGUGCGGGAUGAGGAGGACAGAAAACCCACUCACUUCACCCACUACCAUUGACAACACGUGCAUAAAUAGUGGUGAGCUGUUAGAGUUGUCUCUCUUUGACCACAGGCAGUGAUUGAUGAUCUUGGUCAAAGUUUUCACUAUUACUAUAUUAGAAAAUCAUUUGGCAAGUCGACUUCAGUAACGAUUUUGCAAGUCACUUGCUGGACAGAAUAAUUUUAUGAACAUAUACAUAAUAAAUAUGGAUUAAAUCUG